GAUGAACGCUAGCGGGAGGCCUAACACAUGCAAGCCGAGCGGUCGAGUUUCUUCGGAAACUUGAGAGCGGCGCACGGGUGCGUAACACGUGUGCAACCUACCUUUAUCUGGGGGAUAGCCUUUCGAAAGGAAGAUUAAUACCCCAUAAUAUAAUGAUUGGCAUCAAUUAUUAUUGAAAACUCCGGUGGAUAGAGAUGGGCACGCGCAAGAUUAGAUAGUUGGUGAGGUAACGGCUCACCAAGUCAAUGAUCUUUAGGGGUCCUGAGAGGGAGAUCCCCCACACUGGUACUGAGACACGGACCAGACUCCUACGGGAGGCAGCAGUGAGGAAUAUUGGACAAUGGGUGAGAGCCUGAUCCAGCCAUCCCGCGUGAAGGAUGACGGUCCUAUGGAUUGUAAACUUCUUUUGUACAGGGAUAAACCUACCCUCGUGAGGGUAGCUGAAGGUACUGUACGAAUAAGCACCGGCUAACUCCGUG
rnacentral:rRNA from 1 species